rnacentral:rRNA from 1 species
GACGAACGCUGGCGGCGUGCUUAACACAUGCAAGUCGAACGGAAAGGCCCUGCUUUUGUGGGGUGCUCGAGUGGCGAACGGGUGAGUAACACGUGAGUAACCUGCCCUUGACUUUGGGAUAACUUCAGGAAACUGGGGCUAAUACCGGAUAGGAGCUCCUGCUGCAUGGCGGGGGUUGGAAAGUUUCGGCGGUUGGGGAUGGACUCGCGGCUUAUCAGCUUGUUGGUGGGGUAGUGGCUUACCAAGGCUUUGACGGGUAGCCGGCCUGAGAGGGUGACCGGCCACGUUGGGACUGAGAUACGGCACAGACUCCAACGGGAGGCAGCAGUGGGGAAUGUUGCACAAUGGGAGGAAGCCUGAUGCAGCAACGCCGCGUGCGGGAAGACGGCCUGCGGGUUGUAAACCGCUUUCGCCUGUGCCGGAGCGUGAGUGACGGUAAUGGGUAAAGAAGCCCCGGCUAACUACGUG